rnacentral:rRNA from 1 species
UCAAGCAAAAAAGAGCGCAUGGUGGAUGCCUUGGCACUGGAAGCCGAAGAAGGACGUGAUAAGCUGCGAAAAGCGGCGGGGAGAAGCAAAUAUUCUGCGAUCCGCCGAUAUCCGAAUGGGGAAACCCAUCCAUGAAAACCAUGGAUAUGUAUAAGUAAAUACAUAGCUUAUACAAGGGAACCCGGGGAACUGAAACAUCUAAGUACCCGGAGGAAGAGAAAGAAACAUCGAUUUCCUGAGUAGCGGCGAGCGAAAGGGAAAGAGCCUAAACCGAGAUGCGUGCAUUUCGGGGUAAUGGACUACAAUAAGUGAGCAAAAAGAUAGAAGAACAGGCAGGAAAGCCUGGCCGAAGAAAGUGAAAGCCUUGUAUUCGAAAUCUGAAUUGCAGCGAGUAGUAUCCGGAGUACUGCGGGACACGAGAAACCCUGCAGGAAGUCGGGGGGACCACCCCCCAAGGCUAAAUACUAACCAGUGACCGAUAGCGUAUAGUACUGUGAAGGAAAGGUGAAAAGAACCCUGGGAAGGGAGUGAAAGAGAACCUGAAACCAUGUGUUUACAAACUGUGGAAGAACUAUUAAAAGUUCAACCGCGUACUUUUUGUAGAACGGUCCGGCGAGUCACGCCGGCUGGCAAGGUUAAGGACUAAAGGUCCGGAGCCGAAGGGAAACCAAGUCUUAAUAGGGCGAAGAGUCAGUCAGCGUGGACCCGAAACCGGGUGAUCUACCCAUGUCCAGGAUGAAGCUGCCGUAAGAGGUAGUGGAGGUCCGAACACACAUCCGUUGAAAAGGGUGGUGAUGAGGUGUGGGUAGGGGAGAAAUUCCAAUCGAACCCGGAGAUAGCUGGUUCUCCUCGAAAUAGCUUUAGGGCUAGCCUCGUAUUAGUCUUGCGGAGGUAGAGCACUGAAUAUCCUAGGGGGCGUCAAAGCUUACCGAAGAUUAUCAAACUCCGAAUGCCGCGUAGAUGAUGUACGGGAGUCAGACUGCACGAGAUAAGUUGGGUAGUCAAAAGGGAAAGAGCCCAGACCACCAGCUAAGGUCCCAAAGUGCGUGUUAAGUGGUAAAGGAUGUGGGAUUUCGAAGACAACUAGGAUGUUGGCUCAGAAGCAGCCAUACAUUCAAAGAGUGCGUAAUAGCUCACUAGUCGAGAGGUCCUGCGCCGAAAAUGUCCGGGGCUAAAACACGACACCGAAGCUGUGGAUCCGAAAGGAUGGUAGAGGAGCAUUCUUAAGUCGACGAAGCUGUACUGUAAGGAGCAGUGGAGAGUUAAGAAGAGAGAAUGCCGGAAUGAGUAGCGAGAUUUAAGUGAGAAUCUUAAAGGCCGAAUAUCUAAGGUUUCCAGGGUAAAGCUGAUCUUCCCUGGGUAAGUCGGGGCCUAAGGCGAGGGCGAGAGCCGUAGUCGAUGGAUAACAGGUUGAAAUUCCUGUACUGCUUAUGGACAGAACUGUGGGGACGCAGAAGGAGAGCACGAGCCGGAAAUGGAAAAGCCGGUACAAGCGUAUAGCAGUCAUGCAGGCAAAACCGCAUGAAAAAUGUAAAGCGUUAUGUGGAUCGAACAUUAGUAGAGAAGCGUGUGAGCCAGCUGCCAAGAAAAGCCGCUAUUGCUUCAUAAGUACCCGUACCGUAAACCGACACAGGUGGAUGAGGAGAGAAUCCUAAGGCCGGCGGGAGAAGUGUUGUUAAGGAACUCGGCAAAAUGACUCCGUAACUUCGGGAGAAGGAGUGCCACAGAGAUGUGGCCGCAGAGAAAUGGCCCAAGCAACUGUUUAGCAAAAACACAGGUCUAUGCAAAACCGAAAGGUGAGGUAUAUGGGCUGACGCCUGCCCGGUGCUGGAAGGUUAAGAGGAGAGGUUAGAGCAAUCGAAGCUUUGAAUUUAAGCCCCAGUAAACGGCGGCCGUAACUAUAACGGUCCUAAGGUAGCGAAAUUCCUUGUCGGG